UACGUAGGGGGCAAGCGUUGUCCGGAUUUAUUGGGCGUAAAGAGCGUGUAGGCGGCCAGGUAGGUCAGCUGUGAAAACCCGAGGCUCAACCUCGAGACGCCGGUUGAAACCAUCUGGCUAGAGUCCGGAAGAGGGGAGUGGAAUUCCUGGUGUAGCGGUGAAAUGCGCAGAUAUCAGGAAGAACACCCGUGGCUAAGGCGGCUCUCUAGUAGCGGUACUGACGCUGAGACGCGAAAGCGUGGGGAGCGAACAGG
rnacentral:rRNA from 1 species